UACGGGGGGGGCAAGCGUUGUUCGGAAUUACUGGGCGUAAAGGGCUCGUAGGCGGCCAACUAAGUCGGAUGUGAAAUCCCCAGGCUCAACCUGGGAACUGCAUCCGAUACUGGAUGGCUUGAAUUCGGGAGAGGGAUGCAGAAUUCCAGGUGUAGCGGUGAAAUGCGUAGAUAUCGGGAGGAACACCUGUGGCGAAAGCGGCGCCCUGGACCACAACUGACGCUGAGGAGCGAAAGCUAGGGGAGCAAACAGG
rnacentral:rRNA from 1 species